GACUCAGUUAGUGACACUAUUGUAACCAAGAUAGAAAGAGGUCAAGGUAGAAAACCUUGAGAAUACAAAGAAUCUUUUCAUAUUUCAUAGAAAAUAAUCUUUUUAUAUUUUUUUCUUGCUCAUUUAAUAAUAGAAUAAUAAAAUAAUAAUAAUAAUAAUUAAUAUUAUAAUUGAUCAUUGGUUUGAUUAAAUAAAAAAUGACUCAGUCUUUGUUUACAAAAAAUAAAUUGUUGAAUUAGUUACUGAAAUAUUUUUCAUUUAUUACUGCAUAUUCUGUGUAUAGAAUGCAUACUUCUGUUCAAGUGUACCAUCUUCUUCAGAUUUCAUAUACUCCUUGAACAUGAUACAUAAUAACGUAUGGGAAGGAUUUACUAGAUACGGAGUACAUACCCCAAUUGGACAGGACCAAGGGCAGUCUGGCGGGCGAUAUUAUCAUCACUAAUCAAUGCACGUGUCAUGGACUCGGUAGGAUUCAAGCCUGCGUGCUCUUGCUGACGACACAACAGACAAGACACAACCACAUUAGCACACUAGACAUCACUAUAAUGCUCCAACGCCAUAUUGUUGUUGCAUAAGUUCCUUACGUUUUACACACAGAGGAAUAAGAUUAAAGAUAUCUUUAACAAUUCAUAUUUUAUCAAACUUACUGGCUCCAAAAUUACAAAAAAAAGAAAAAAAAAAAGAAAAAGAAAAAAAAAUAUAUUUUUUAAUAAAAAUUUUAGAUUUAAUUUUUUAUUUUAAUUUAAUGCGAUAGAAAAUAUGUUAAAUACGAGAUUUGACAAUAAAGUUAGCGAAUUCGUUGUGGUAAAAUUACAAUGUUAAAAUAUUUCCUUUGAAAAAAGGAAUGUAUUGUUCAUCUUCAAAAAAACAAUUUUGAAAAUUAUUUUGUGAAAUAAAUUUCAAAAUUUUUA